rnacentral:rRNA from 1 species
CCUACGGGGGGCAGCAGUAGGGAAUAUUGCUCAAUGGGGGAAACCCUGAAGCAGCAACGCCGCGUGGAGGAUGAAGGUUUUCGGAUUGUAAACUCCUUUUGUUAGAGAAGAUAAUGACGGUAUCUAACGAAUAAGCACCGGGUAACUCCGUGCCAGCAGCCGCGGUAUUACGGGGGGUGCAAGCGUUACUCGGAAUCACUGGGGGUAAAUCGCGCGUAGGCGGGAUAGCAAGUCAGAUGUGAAAUCCUAUGGCUUAACCAUAGAACUGCCUUUGAAACUGUUAUUCUUGAGUAUGGGAGAGGUAGGUGGAAUUCUUGGUGUAGGGGUAAAAUCCGUAGAGAUCAAGAAGAAUACUCAUUGCGAAGGCGACCUGCUAGAACAUAACUGACGCUGAUGCGCGAAAGCGUGGGGAGCAAACAGGAUUAGAUACCCGAGUAGUC